AAAAGAGAGACGGCAAGCUUGGGGAAAUAUUUCCGAGGGCAAGCAAAAUAAAAUGAAAUAGUUGAACGACCAAUGUUUUAGUGGGUGCGCGUAUGUGAGUAUUGGACUGUCAAAAUAGACCGAAAAAGGCGAUUUUUUCGAGUUUUCCACAUUUGGGAUUGGUUUGUUUAUUUGUGAAAGAUCAUGUACAGUGCAGUGAAGUGUUUUUAAGUGGCCCCAGGAUUUUAAUAUCAGUAGUAAUUCAGGAAUUUGCUAAUUUGAGUAUUAUUAGUGUGUCGAGACAGCCAGACGAUGACGGAAAGAAGAUUGAACGGAGCAGCAAAUACGAAGAAAUACGACACAUGACAACCAGCUGAUUAUUGCUUUAUUCUUUUGUUUAGUGCAAAUAAACUAAUUUUAGUAACUUCA